UGAGCUUCAGCCGAGCCAAGAACAGCUACUGCCCAGUGGUGUCCGAGGGCAAGGCUGGCUGUGAACGUUUGGGAGCAGCAGCAUUGUUUUGCUGGUAUUAGCACUUACUGAGAUCUUUUCCCAGAAGACUAUUUCCACGUUCUGCAACAAAGACCACAAAUUUGGCAGAGGAAGUGCUUUUGAGGCUACGCAUCCCACGAAAACCUGACCGGAUUCAGGCAGCUGCCUCACUUGGGAAGAUGCUGGCUUUCAGAUGCUGGAGAAAUUACGGUCUCCAUCACCCUCCUUGAGAUGGCUGAAGAGCUCCUCAGUGCCUGUGCCACCAGCCACCCCCCACAGCCCAGGCACGUGAGCAGAGGGGAUGCAGCCCCCACCACGACUCUGCAGGCUCCACUGGCAGCCAGCUGGAGGGUGGGAGAUGACGCAGCGGCCAAUAACAUGGGAUAAAGGGAGCUGGCCCGAGGAGCUGCCUGCCCACCGACAGGCCAGCUACAAACCAGUAGUCCUCAACAAGCAAAACCCAUGAGAAUGGUUCCUUCUUCUGCACCUCCUCCAUUGCUGAGGCAGGAACUCGGUCCCCUUAGGCAAAGCAGGCUGUAAAGUAUAGUGUGACACUAACGGGCUAUUUAGGAAAUUAAGGCAGAAUGUAUUAUUAAUACGUUAUUCACCUGACAGAGCAGGAGACAGGAAUGGGAGGGAGGAAAAAUGGCUUUUUUUGCCUUCUCUUCACUUAUUCCUUUUAUUGUUCCCGUUUCUUUGCCUCAGGCUGUGACUGGAGAGCCCUAAUCCCAGGGGUGACAAAACCGCAGACCAGGAUGGGAAGGCUACCUGGGGCCGUAGGACAUUGGCUCUGGCAACCGCUACUGCCUCUUACGACUGUGAGGGCAGCUGUUUUACCAGUGUUACUGCAAACUCUAACCACUUAAAAAUCAGGACUCGUACCUGGAAAAACCACAAGGCUCCCAGUGCAAUUACAACCUACCUACACAGACACACAUAUAUAUACGGUAUGCUCUGACUCCUGCCUUCUCAGCUUUAUAGGAGAAACAUCAGUGCAGUUGAGAUACCUCUAUCCCGAAUGCAAGACCAUUUCCAUGCAGACAGUCCUUAUUUUUCCUGCUGUUCCUGGGUGAUUUAACAUCUGACUUAGCUGUGCAGGUGGAAAGGACAGGGGAGAAAAUAAAAGACUAAAAUAGGCACGAGGUUUGUAGCUUGGAGAAUGUUUCCAGUGUCAUGGCACAUCAGAUGCUCUACAUGUUUGCAUUUCAGAGGCUUUCGUAUUUUUCUUCCAAUUUCAAGGCUUAAAAAACUUGCUUUUGGAUGAAAGUCCCAGGAAUUCAGAAGCAAGCUAAUUUGUCUGAGGAGAUGAUAUGCAUUUCCUGACAACACCUGUGAAAUGUUAAAGUUUAAUUGGCCCAUACAGAUGCCGCUGAUGGUAAUUUUAUUCCAGGACUAUUUCAGUUCUUUCCUACUAUUUUACUGUUUUAAUUCUGAUGUAAAAAUUCCGAAGUGCAUUUUAAAGAGAAGAAGUAAAAUACUGCAAGAGCAGUGGCUGUGAACACCUGGGUGUUCCUAACAGGCUUUGGCUGGUGUUUGCUGCAGGGUCGGGAUGGCCCAGAGGGUCCCAAACAUGCUGCCGUGGCGGUGGGGAUGGCAUCCCUGGGUACCCAUGGCCCUUCCCAGGGUCAUGGUGCAGAAACCGUGGCCUUGACAGGGACAUGGCAGCCAGGGGCAGCCAGAGGAUGGACACUGGUUUAUUAAAUGGAGGAGACAGUGUUGCAGGUUUGUUCCCUUUCUUCCCUCUCUUCCAGUCCAUAUCCCACUGUGAACUGCCAGAAGGCUUGUUUGGGAAAGAGCCAUUCAAAUGUAAACCCUUUUUCUGUCUGAGCUGCAGUAAGUGCUACAAUACUAGCGGAUGCCUUACUUCAGGCUUUAGGAUCUUUCUCAGCCUUUGGCGCCAUAUACAUUUAGCUCUUUAUUUGAUUUCCUACCAUGAAAAUAGCUCAGAGAGCCCUUUCUCCACAACUGGUGCCAACUGGUAUGGUCAGGACUAACUCGCAUUCCUUCAGAACCCCAAGCUGAAACCCAACCUCAAUACCUUGGGAAAUCUAGAAAACCAUAAUAUCUUUUAUUUUUUCCUUUUAUACACUAGCACUUACAUGAUGUGAAAGGGAGAGCUGCUUGUCAUUCCUCAAGACCUGUGCUGGAAUAUAGGUGCACAUUUCAGGAGGACAGGUCCCAAACCGUAAAUGUGCCAUUUCGGGGACUGCUACACUUACAAGAUACUGUAUUUAGAUCUUUCAGCCACCUGCACUCCAAGCAUCCUCACCGUCACAAAUCCAUAGAGCUACAUAAAAGUAUUUAAACAGGGGGUGACUGCAUGCAUUUGUGGAAGGGAAUUAAGAGGGCCAGAGGAGAAACGUCCUUUUCCCAGCACAUGCUGUACUUUGUACACUGUAUUUAUCAUCAUCAGAUAACCUCUGUCCAUAGAAGCAGAGAGUUUGAGCUCACACUGACCGUGACAGCUGCCUCGGCACGGUCUGUUCCUACCACCAUCCCAUAACCCUCUAUGAUAUUUAUCUCUCCAAGGAGGAAAAGCUGUCUGAGGAUAACUAAUGGGAUUACAGCUCAAAAGCCUGGCAUUGUAAAGCAAGCAGCGCUUUAAAAAAAACAUGCUGAAAAGUUGUUUUUCCAGGAUGAUUACAUUCAAGUAAAAUAACCACGACAAAGAUGGCAGGUAUUCAACGUAAAAAGCCUAAAUGAUUCACAACUGAGUCUAGAAAAAUUACUGCCAUAAAUUGGAGAAGAAGUGUGAAAAGAAACCUCGCGGUUCUCAUGGGCAAGAUUUCAGCCCAGCAUAUGCCAUCCUGCACACCCAGCCCUGCAGCGGCGAGCUGCUCUGGGUGAACAAGGACCGUUCAUCUGUUCAAGGAGCAGUCUGAGCAUCGGCAAUGCUCCAGAAUUGGGAAUUUUUAAAGUUUUUGAGUGAGAGAUUAUCAUCAGCACAAAAGGAAAGAGUCUUCUCUUUUUCUCUCUUCAACUCAGCGUGAAAUAAUUAAAAAACCAAAUAUAGGCACUAUUCUUAGUUCUACGUGACCAGUAUUCCUCUUGUAUAGUGUCGUCUUCCACCAUUUAUUUCUUUCAAAGUAACGGGGCUAUUUAUCAACUACAGGGACCCAUAAUUAAUUCUGCAUGACAGCAAAAAUGUUUUGCAUUUAAAAAUAACUGAUGUUUGAGAAAAACAGAAUUUCACAAGGAGAUGGUUGUAAAGUACCUGGAUUUUGGGGGGAAUUCACAGAAAGUAUUUAAAUACGAAGCCACCCAGGCAAUAGCUUAGAAACUUCUAGCAACAGACAAUUUUAUGAAGGGUGCAUUGGAGGAGGUCAGACUGUCCCAGCUGGAACACCAGCCCUCCAGCCCAGGGCUGAAGGGCCUCAGAGCAGCAUCAACUCCUCCAUAACUCAGGAGCUGCCGGGGGGGCAGCAGACCCCCCAGCCCUUCUCCCAGGCUGCACCGGAGCCCCUGCAGACAUGGCAGCUUGCUGCCCGCCCAGGCAGCAGCCAGAGGAGCAGCUCAGUACAUGUAAAUCAGUUGGGAGAGGUACAUUAUGAAUUUUUUUCCACUUAACUCACUAAUUGAAAUUAAAUGGAACUGAAACAUUAAUUGUUGAUGAGCUAGCCUCCAAGCCUACUAAUUUAAUGAUAAAGUGUUGUAAGGAAAAAAGCAUGUCAUAUAUAUUAAGAUAUACUGGACAUGUCAGAUAUGGAUACAAAAGAUAAGCAAGACGCAUUUUCCAGUGGAAAUACAAUGUGCCUCACAUUUUACUCUCUUCUGUUGUUCACACUUCUGAAGCAACAUACAUAAUUUCUCUUUUCAAGUGUGAUAGUGUGUUAUAUCGGAUUUUAUAGAGAUACUCUAUGUGCAAUGAAAAAUUGAGACCUGCUGAUUUUUAAAAUUAAGCUUGCCUGUAAUGCUAGUGCAUACUAUUUUAAAAUACUUAUUUAGCCCAUGUUUGGCUUUCAGUAAAGCCAUCUUUGGCUCUACAGAUACAACAGCACCUUUCUAGUUUAACUCAGGAAUGUAUUCCCCAGCCCCUCAGAGGUUCAAUUAAAGUUUCAUAUCUUUAAUAAACAGCAGAGUGCACUUCAAAGGAAUCGGAGAACAUUCUUGUGAAUUACCUCAGGAACGCAAUCGGUCCCUGUAAAUAAAGCAGAGUGCACAGAAGAGCGAUGCACUGGGGUAAAGCCCUUGGCGAGGCACUUUACUAUCAGGCUGCCUAGCAAUCAUCCCAGCAUCAGCCUCAUCUCAGAACAGAAGCAGACAUCGAGCUUGAUUGUGAUAAAUGGAAGCACUUUCAGCUAGAUGACUUACUCUGGACUCAAAAGGGACAGAUUUACUGCCACUAUGUUUAUAGAAAUGCAGCCUGCCCUGUAACGGAGAGCAGAUCUGGCACAGACCUGGAAGAGUAGCUGUCUUCACCCCUCCCAGCCUAACCACGGCGCUUUCUUGUUACCGACAGUGUUUCCAAACUCCCCGUCUGCAGGAACCAUGUUAAUGUGAAGGGGACAGCUACGGGCAGGAGGCUGGCAGCAACGAGCCCGUAUUUUACAAGCAAGGAAAUUUUGUCAAAUACCACUAGGUGACAACGGAUCUUCUUCUAGAAGAAGUUUCUAACAAUGCAUUUCUAUUUCUGGAACAAACAGCCUAACUGUUAUCCCUUAAACAGACAAAUUUUAAUUAAUUUUAAUUGCAAAUUAACGUGCAAAUUUAUUUUUCUUAUCUACUUAAAAAUGACGAUGAUACAAAUCAAUUGUCUGUAUAAAUUUAGAAAUCCUCUUUUGGUUUCUUCUUGCUUUUUUGUAUUGUUCCACAGACUACUAAAAAUAGCACUAAUUCUGCUGGGAAAUACAGCCCGAGCUAAUAGUUAUCGAAACAACAAAGUGCUUUUGUUCACUUUUGAGCUGCAUAAAAUGAGCAGAACUAGUA